GGCAAGCACAUCCGUCAAUCAUCCUGUGUAUCACUAAGAUUUUGUUACACAGGCACCCAUGACAGAGAGGAGACAAAAUAAGUGAAAGUCAUCUCGGUCCAUUGAGACGUCCUACCUACCAAUCUAUCCUCAGUAACCCCCACCCAGGUUACAGUCUUGUUUCUAGGACACACUUCUAUAUUUAUGAAAUUACAAACUCAGGGUUAUGGAAUCCCAAGUGUCCAGAUGUGGAGCCAGUAGGAAACAGAUUGCUUAUGCAGACCUUAUUUCAAUGCCAGCCAUGAAGGUGCCCUCUUUUGGGUAAUGUGUAGUGUGCAAUACAUCCGUGAGGAUGUGUCAGAGAAAUCAGGAAAACUUAGAAGAGUUUGAGAUAAGUUUCCACCCUGAGGCGUCAGGAAUUGCCAUUCGCUAUGCUACAACCACAUCCAACUAUUAGAUGCGGACAAAAACAGUGAUUGAGAGCUGUGGGAUGUGCUUGCUAUGUACUCCCUUACAUUUUGUUUGUAUCUUGGUGAUAGAUGAACCUGGAGUAAAGUAAAGCCGCACCAUAUGUACCAGCUGAGGCCGUACAAUAACACAUUUUUCUGCUAAAUUGCUCAGAAAGACAAACAGCUGGACUAAAUCUGCUCUCCCCCCUCUUUUCUGGAUUUCUCUGACAUCUAAACAGCUCAGGGUGUUCACAAGACAGCUCCCCACUUUGACGUCCAUUUCAUCUCUUUGAGCUGAGGAUUUUUCUUUUUCUUUUUUUUUUUAAAUGGUGAUUCAUGAAACAGUGAAAGUUGAAAGAGGCUUUUGAACAAAAACACAGAAGUUGUCCAAAGAUGUAUAGAGUGUAAGGAACAGGCCCACUGUACUGACACAUGAAUUGAACAAAAUCUGCAAACACAUUUCCAGAAAAGACGAUAAUUCUGUUGUUUAUAAUUUAUCUAAUGGUGAAGAUCUUGUGCCCAGUUGGGACCUGGUACUUGACCACUCAAUGAAACACUGCAUGGCAGGAGGAAGAUGAGAAGAAGAUGUGCCAUCUUAAUCAUUUAGAACACACACACACACACACACACACACUAAAGGUGGUCAGGUACUUCAAAAAAGCCCUUCAUCAUCAAAAACUUUAGACUUGUAGCAAUUUCUUUCUUCUGUUAUUCUGUGCAGAACUCUAUGAAUUACCUAAACAUAUGUUGGGGCUCCAACUAACCAUCACUGUCAUUACAUUAAUUCUUUUUUCUUUUCCUGAUUAAUUAUUUUUUUUUAUUCUUUUCCUAAUUAAUCAUUUCUCUACAAAAUGUUAGAAAAUAAUUAAAAAUAUCCAUUAUAAUUUCAGCAGCCCAAAUUGCUUGUUUAUUCAACCAACACUCUGACGCACAAAGAUAUUCUAUUUACAAUCAUAUGAAAGUAGAAAAGCAGCCGUUCCUCACAUUUGAGAAGCUGGCACCAGAGAAUGGAUUACUGAGCUAAUUGAUUAAUCAGCUAAUCCUUACUGUUCUAUUUGUGAUGUCUGAUACGUUGGCAGUAUCUUGGGCCAAAUGUUAAUUGUAAAUACAAACUUCAGUGAUUAGAAGUUUUAUUCUGAGAAAGAAGUACAAGAAAAAAUUUGAAUUGUAAAUUGAGGCUUGAAGUGUAUUUAAGAGUGGAAGGUUGGCAAAUUAUCAAGGAGAGCCACGAUUAUGUGCUGGCCUUGCUUUGAUAUAAUCAAUAUGCCUGUAAAGUAGAUGCAACUUUGAAAAUAAAUCUUAAGAAUGAAUUAGGACCGAGCUGUAACACAAUGGAAAAGGACAGGAAGUAACCCCAAAGGACAAAAGCUUAACAUACAAUAUAUCCAGCAAUCCUCCCAUCAGUGGAAACACACACCUCUCCAUCAGACAGUGUAUCGUGUAUGUUAACACAAUCCACUGUAGCUGCACAGUGCUCAAGUUCCUGUCUUUCUAUCAGAGAGUGACAGCACAUGUCCGAAACAGAGGACAAUCAAUCCAUCAUCUCACAUCACUGCACCAUGAUGAUACUGCUGGUAGACACAGAGACACAGAGGAUAUGUCACUUCGUAAACCUCAAGCGCAAAGUGCUUUUGUUGUUGCAGUGAGUGGCUUAAGGACACAUCUUAAAAUAAGGACUUCAGGAAAGGAAAAAAAAAAAAAAAA